rnacentral:rRNA from 1 species
GAUGAACGCUGGCGGCGUGCCUAAUACAUGCAAGUCGAACGCAUAGCGAAAGGUGCUUGCACCUUUCAAGUGAGUGGCGAACGGGUGAAUAACACGUGGACAACCUGCCUCAAGGCUGGGGAUAACAUUUGGAAACAGAUGCUAAUACCGAAUAAAACUUAGUGUCGCAUGACACAAAGUUAAAAGGCGCUUCGGCGUCACCUAGAGAUGGAUCCGCGGUGCAUUAGUUAGUUGGUGGGGUAAAGGCCUACCAAGACAAUGAUGCAUAGCCGAGUUGAGAGACUGAUCGGCACAUUGGGACUGAGACACGGCCCAAACUCCUACGGGAGGCUGCAGUAGGGAAUCUUCCACAAUGGGCGAAAGCCUGAUGGAGCAACGCCGCGUGUGAUGAAGGCUUUCGGGUCGUAAAGCACUGUUGUAUGGGAAGAACAGCUAGAAUAGGAAAUGAUUUUAGUUUGACGGUACCAUACCAGAAAGGGACGGCUAAAUACGUG